rnacentral:misc_RNA from 1 species
GUGAAUCAUCGAAUUUUUGAACGCAAAUUGCACUCUCUGGUAUUCCGGAGAGUAUGCCUGUUUGAGGGUCAGUUUAAAUACAAAUCGGUGUGGUUUCUGCCUUUCGUGCUGACGCACCGGGUUUGGGUCGUCUUUCCUUCGGGUAAGUGACCUAAAAUUUUGCAUGAUUUUUUUCGAACGUAUUUAACUGCUUUUACGUACGUUUGCUAUCUCGAAUAAUAUG